rnacentral:lncRNA from 1 species
UCCAGCAGUCGACCUUCCACAGUAUCCUCCAGAUUCCUCCAAUGGAUGAACUCCUAUCGUACCCUCCAGACUUCUCCAAUAAUGAGCCCCUUCAGUCGUAUAUCGGACGGCUCCAAAUACUCUCUGGGCUUCACUAUCAGUCGAUUUUCUACAGUGAUCGGCUACUCUCCGAAUCUCUUCCAGACUUCCUCCUGUCAUGAUCGACUUUACUCCGAGCUUCUUUCAGACUUUGUCAAUGUCCGGGCUUCUCCAGCAGCAGGACUUCUACAGUAACCAGCCUCCAUCCAAACUUCUAUUGCAGGCAGACUUCAGUCGAGCUUCUAUAUUAAGCGGUCUCCACCCG